UGAGUGCUACUUUGGGAACAAAAACUUGGUUUGGUGCUAUCCUAGUCUUUUUCUCUAAGUAAUAUCAAAAUUGAGUUUACAUCUCAGAGAUUUGAGUUUCCACAGUUUUAUUUUGGUAUAAAAUCUACACUAUACAGUGAUCUUUCUAAUAUGAUCGCUGUCUUAUUUUCUUCUUUAACUUAUGGUUUUGUUGGUUUUACCAAAAAGUCUAUUUUUCUAACUAUAUCAUGUUGCUUUUAACCUCCACCCACACACAUAAUAUCAUUUCACAGCAUCUAUCUAUUGCAACGGUUGAAGAACACACUCUUUCCUGAAAUUUCCAAUUUUUUUAGUCCAGAAAAAUUUAAAUCUAGUUCUAUAAGGGGAAUUUGCACCCAAUAACUACUUCUAUAAGUAUAAUUUUCCGUUGUAAUAUAACCCGAUUUUUCUGUAAUUUCCAAGUGAUUGAGAAAAAUAGACGGUGUAAAUAAUGUUGUAAAAUGAAUGAUAAAAUAUUGGGAAAAUUGUUUUUUUAGAGCAAAAAAAUAUAAACAUUGUCCUAAUAGAAUAAUCCCAACCUACAAUUGUCUCAUUAAGCUAAUAAUUUUGAAAAUCCCAGUUUAGUCCUUCGAAAUACAAUUUUAAAACUAACUGUAAUACAUUAAAUUAAUAUAAUAUACAGAACCAAUUAAUUUUUUUUUUUUUUAAAUCCCCAAAUCAAAACCCCUAACCCUAAUUAUUUCAGUCUCAUUCUCUAGGCCUCUCUAAUUCUGGUGGCGACAAAGUCAACAGGUCUCUAUUGGUGGGGAGAAGAAGAUACCGACUCAAAUCUCGUCUUCUCCGGCGUAAAUCUCUUCUUCUCCGGCUUAGUAUCUUCUUCUCCGGCUUAAUCUCUUAUUCUCUCAUGUAAAACGAAGCGCAGACACUAGAAGAUAUGUAAUUUGGCACUAAUCCUGGUACUAUCGGGUUAAUGGGUCAGUUCACCAAACCGUUGGAUCAUCUGAGUUUGUACUUAUGAAGAUAAGGAAGGAGAUUGGAUGCUCGUUGGUGAUGUUCCAUGGAGAAUGCUCAUCACCUCGGUUAAAAGGAUUCGUGUGAUGAAAACGUCUGAAGCUAAUGGUCUAGACUAUCUUGUCUUGACUUAUGAUAUUGUUUGUUGAAACAUAUAAUGAAAAAAUCUUAGUAUAUAAUAUGCAGGAUACUUGUGAAGCAAGUAAAAGGAAGAAACAGAAGCUAGGUUGAUCUUAUUCAGUUUGUGAUGUUUCUUUGGUUCUUCUAAUGUUCUUUAAGGGUUUUUUUUGGCUUGAUGUCUUUUGUUUUACUGUUGCUAUUACUAUGGAAGAGAAUGCUCUUUAUUUGUUUUACUACACUGUAAAUAUUUGAAGCUUGUCUAAUAUCAUUUUGUGGGUUUAGUUUAUGAGUUCA